ACAUUGGGAAAGGUGCCGAAGACAUGAACUUUGGUCUUCUCUGCAAUCCCUCUGGAGCAUUCAGUGACAACGUCGACUUUGAAGUUGCACUGACCUGGCCAGCCCUGCCACUUACCAGGUUGGGCUCUUGAGUUUCUGCUUUCAAGUGACCCUCAGAAAUGCCCCCAUUCACUGCAGAGGUUCUGUUUCUCCUUGUUUUGUUCCGACUUUAUGGCAGAACUAGGUUAAUGAGUUAAUUACUAUGAGUUAUCACUUGGAUUUGAAGAACCAUCAUUUCUAGGCUUUGCUGCUCAGAGUGGGUUUGCCCUCAGGGGAAGCUAUCUAACCAGAGCCUAACCCACUAGGGUUUUAUCAGAACCUAACUGGCCUGAGGAAAAGAAAUAUUCAACUCCAGCAAGCUCCAGCCUUCCAAACGGAGGAGGAGAAAACCCAAAUCCAGCCCACUUCAGCUAUCUUGUCCCACAUAAAGGGGGAGUGGAAGAAACGUGAGAAGCAGGCAUGAAGUUCACAGUCCGGAGGUACAGACACAUCAGAGUUCAGUAUCUGAUGAAUUAGAUGCAAAAUCCUCAACAAAGUAUUAGCAAAUUGAAUUCAACAAUGUAUGAAAAUUAUUACAUGCCAUGACUAAUUGGAAUUUAUCUCAGGUAUACAAGCCAUGCUGAACAUCUGAAAAUCAAUUCAUGUGAUCCAUCACAUUAGCAGAUUCAAGAAAAAAAAAACCACAUUAUCAUAUCAGUAGAUGUAGAAAAAAAAAAUUAACAAAAUCCAGCACGCAUUCACAAUGAAAAUGCUCAGUAAAUUAGAAAUAGAAGGUAACUUCCUCAACUUGACAAGGAAUAUCUCUAAAAACCUACAACUAAAAUCAUACUUAAUGGUAAAAAACUAGAAGCCUUCCCAGUAAGAGUAAGAACAAGGCAAAGAUGUAUGCUCUCACCACUCCUUUUCAACAUCAUAUUGGAAGUCCUAGCUAGUGCAAUAAGCAAAAAAAAAAAAAAAA
rnacentral:lncRNA from 1 species